rnacentral:lncRNA from 1 species
GGCAGUUGGUAACUGUUUUGCAUAUCAUCCCUGCCCAUUAGAGUGAACAAUAUUAGCAAAGGCACUGAGAAGGAAUAAUCUUGGCCUGUUUAUCGAACGGGACUAUUCAUUUCCCUGGCUACGAGGAUUUUAAAAAGCAAGAAGAAAUUUAUUGGCAGAUCUGAUCACCCUUAUGAGAGAGCAAUCAAGUAAGACAGCAUGUAGCCCCUGG